GACGAACGCUGGCGGCGUGCUUAACACAUGCAAGUCGAGCGGUAAGGCCCUUCGGGUACGACGAGCGGCGAACGGUGAGUAACACGUGGGUGACCUGCCUUUAGCUCUGGGAUAAGCCUGGGAAACUGGGUCUAAUACCGGAUAUGACCUCAUGACGCAUGUUGUGGGGUGGAAAGCCUUGUGCGGCUAGAGAUGGGCCCGCGGCCUAUCAGCUUGUUGGUGGGGUGAUGGCCACCAAGGCGACGACGGGUAGCCGGCC
rnacentral:rRNA from 1 species